rnacentral:siRNA from 1 species
CGAGUGCCGCUCACGCCCGGUCGU